rnacentral:lncRNA from 1 species
GUUAUGAUUGUUGCUUUAUGUUAGGAUCUCAUAAAUAGAUUUUUAUAGCUGAGUUGAAUAUAUAUAAUGAAAAGAAAAUCCUUAUUGAAGAUAUUGCUAGCUUCUUUUGAAUUUUUUCCUUGAAAGCCUUACUCAAAAGGAAUUUUCCUUCACUUUCUCCUUGCUCUUUUCAGUAUUUUUGUUUGUUCUACACUUUAAUAUUUUUCUUUGUGAUUUUAAAUUUCUUUUUAGGUUGCGGAC